GCUGGGCGUGGUGGUGCACGCCUGUAAUCCUAGGUACUCGGGAGGCUGAGGGAGGAGAAUCACUUGAACCCAGGAGGCGGAGGUUGCAGUGAGCCAAGAUCGAACCACUGCACUCCAGCCUGGGUGACAGAGUGAGAAUCUGUCUCAG
rnacentral:SRP_RNA from 1 species